rnacentral:rRNA from 1 species
GUGCAGCAGUCGCGAAUUUUUCUCAAUGGGGGAAACCCUGAAGGAGCGACGCCGCGUGGAGGAUGAAGGCCUUCGGGUUGUAAACUCCUGUCAUUUGAGAACAAGGAGCCGAGAGUAACUACUUCGGCUUUGAUAGUAUCAGAAGAGGAAGGGACGGCUAACUCCGUGCCAGCAGCCGCGGUAAUACAGAGGUCCCAAGCGUUGUUCGGAUUCAUUGGGCGUAAAGGGUGCGUAGGUGGCGCCAUAAGUCAGGUGUGAAAUUUCGGAGCUUAACUCCGAAACUGCAUUUGAUACUGUGGUGCUUGAGGACUGGAGAGGAGACUGGAAUUUACGGUGUAGCAGUGAAAUGCGUAGAGAUCGUAAGGAAGACCAGUGGCGAAGGCGGGGUACUCUGGACAG